rnacentral:rRNA from 1 species
UACCAGCACCCCGAGUGGUCGGGACGUUUAUUGGGCCUAAAGCAUCCGUAGCCGGUUCUACAAGUCUUCCGUUAAAUCCACCUGCUUAACAGAUGGGCUGCGGAAGAUACUAUAGAGCUAGGAGGCGGGAGAGGCAAGCGGUACUCGAUGGGUAGGGGUAAAAUCCGUUGAUCCAUUGAAGACCACCAGUGGCGAAGGCGGCUUGCCAGAACGCGCUCGACGGUGAGGGAUGAAAGCUAAGGGAGCGAAAGGG